rnacentral:rRNA from 1 species
GACGAACGCUGGCGGCGUGCCUAAUACAUGCAAGUAGAACGCUGAAGGAGGAGCUUGCUUCUCUGGAUGAGUUGCGAACGGGUGAGUAACGCGUAGGUAACCUGCCUGGUAGCGGGGGAUAACUAUUGGAAACGAUAGCUAAUACCGCAUAAUAUUGACUAUUGCAUGAUAGUCAGUUGAAAGGUGCAACUGCACCACUACCAGAUGGACCUGCGUUGUAUUAGCUAGUUGGUGGGGUAACGGCUCACCCAGGCGACGAUACAUAGCCGACCUGAGAGGGUGCGCGGCCACACUGGGACUGAGACACGGCCCAGACUACUACGGGAGGCAGCAGUAGGGAACCUCUGGCAAUGGACGGAAGGCUGACCGAGCAACGCCGCGUGAGUGAAGAAGGCUGUCGGAUCGUAAAGAUCUGUUGUAAGUGAAGAACGAGUGUGAGAGUGGAAAGCGCACAUUGUGACGGUACCUGACCAGAAAGGGACGGCUAACUACGUG